AUACUUUGAUUUUUCUUCAGAUCGUAUAAAGCUUUCUCCUUUACUAAAGUUUUCCAUGGAGAGGAUCAUCCAUGAGUUUUCAAAACUUUUUGAGGCUCUGCCCUUUACAGGGCU